CUAGCGGAUGCCGAAAAGCUAUACGAGUAGGCC
rnacentral:ncRNA from 1 species